rnacentral:rRNA from 1 species
UACGUAGGGUCCGAGCGUUGUCCGGAAUUAUUGGGCGUAAAGCGCGCGCAGGCGGUUCUUUAAGUCUGAUGUGAAAGCCCACGGCUCAACCGUGGAGGGUCAUUGGAAACUGGAGAACUUGAGUACAGAAGAGGAAAGCGGAAUUCCACGUGUAGCGGUGAAAUGCGUAGAGAUGUGGAGGAACACCAGUGGCGAAGGCGGCUUUCUGGUCUGUAACUGACGCUGAGGCGCGAAAGCGUGGGGAGCAAACAGG